CAGAACGAACGCUGGCGGCAGGCUAACACAUGCAAGUCGAGCGCCGUAGCAAUACGGAGCGGCAGACGGGUGAGUAACGCGUGGGAACAUACCCCUUGGUUCGGAAUAACUCAGGGAAACUUGAGCUAAUACCGGAUAAGUCGGCAACGAGAAAGAUUCAUCGCCGAGGGAUUGGCCCGCGUCCGAUUAGCUUGUUGGUGAGGUAACGGCUCACCAAGGCGACGAUCGGUAGCUGGUCUGAGAGGAUGAUCAGCCACAUUGGGACUGAGACACGGCCCAAACUCCUACGGGAGGCAGCAGUGGGGAAUAUUGGACAAUGGGCGCAAGCCUGAAUCCAGCCAUGCCGCGUGAGUGAUGACGGCCUUAGGGUUGUAAAGCUCUUUCGCCAGGGACGAUAAUGACGGUACCUGGAUAAGAAGCCCCGGCUAACUUCGUGCCAGCCGCCGC
rnacentral:rRNA from 1 species